UACGAAGGGGGCUAGCGUUGCUCGGAAUCACUGGGCGUAAAGCGCACGUAGGCGGAUUCCUAAGUCGGGGGUGAAAUCCUGGAGCUCAACUCCAGAACUGCCUUGGAUACGGGAUCGCUUGAGGAUUGGAGAGGCAAGGGGAAUUCCACGUGUAGCGGUGAAAUGCGUAGAGAUGUGGAGGAACACCUGUGGCGAAGGCGCCUUGCUGGCCAAUUUCUGACGCUGAGGCGCGAAAGCGUGGGGAGCAAACAGG
rnacentral:rRNA from 1 species